GGCAGGCUACACAUGCAGUCGAGCGGAUGAAGGGAGCUUGCUCCUGGAUUCAGCGGCGGACGGGUGAGUAAUGCCUAGGAAUCUGCCUGGUAGUGGGGGAUAACGUCCGGAAACGGGCGCUAAUACCGCAUACGUCCUGAGGGAGAAAGUGGGGGAUCUUCGGACCUCACGCUAUCAGAUGAGCCUAGGUCGGAUUAGCUAGUUGGUGGGGUAAAGGCCUACCAAGGCGACGAUCCGUAACUGGUCUGAGAGGAUGAUCAGUCACACUGGAACUGAGACACGGUCCAGACUCCUACGGGAGGCAGCAGUGGGGAAUAUUGGACAAUGGGCGAAAGCCUGAUCCAGCCAUGCCGCGUGUGUGAAGAAGGUCUUCGGAUUGUAAAGCACUUUAAGUUGGGAGGAAGGGCAGUAAGUUAAUACCUUGCUGUUUUGACGUUACCAACAGAAUAAGCACCGGCUAACUUCGUGCCAGCAGCCGCGGUAAUACGAAGGGUGCAAGCGUUAAUCGGAAUUACUGGGCGUAAAGCGCGCGUAGGUGGUUCAGCAAGUUGGAUGUGAAAUCCCCGGGCUCAACCUGGGAACUGCAUCCAAAACUACUGAGCUAGAGUACGGUAGAGGGUGGUGGAAUUUCCUGUGUAGCGGUGAAAGGCGGAGAAAAAGGAAGGAACACCA
rnacentral:rRNA from 1 species